rnacentral:rRNA from 1 species
UAUUAAUGCACCCGAUCCCAUCAGAACUCCACAGUUAAGCACACUUGGGCUAGAGUAGUACUAGGAUGGGUGACCUCCCAGGAAGUCCUGGUGUUGCAACCU